GGUGGGUCAUGCAUAACAACAUUGCGUGUCAUGUUCUCCUGUGGACAUUACGUCUGCGUCCGGAUCCCACCCAAAUACUACAGAGAUAAGAGAUCUGAGGAAAUCAAAACAUGAACAGAUCUCUCUCUUCUGUCUGUCAGCUUUACCAGAAGGACGACAGAUAAGACCAUUUCCAGAUGGUGCUGGAGUUUCUCAGGUGUGCUGGAUGACAGAAGUUUCUGGACGAUCAAGAUGACCUACGUUUGGAUUUCGUUUCCAAGUACCAAGCUGGCAGCUUCCUGUUGUCCUUUGUCUCCUGAACCAAGGCAAAAGCGUACCCUGUCCACCCUCCAACGCAAGUACCUGAACAUUGAACUAACUCCUGAACUCACCAGAACUCACUCUGCAGCUCAAGUAAACCAUUUGGAUUUUCUCUGCUUCGCACACCUGUGUCCUGACACCCUCUACCCCUGGUGACCUGACUGCACUCAUGUAAGUUGGCGAUUCAUCCAUUCAUGUUCCAGACUCACGUAUUGUAAAUAAAAC